rnacentral:rRNA from 1 species
ACUCCUACGGGAGGCAGCAGUGGGGAAUCUUGGACAAUGGGCGCAAGCCUGAUCCAGCCAUGCCGCGUGAGUGAUGAAGGCCCUAGGGUCGUAAAGCUCUUUCGCCAGGGAUGAUAAUGACAGUACCUGGUAAAGAAACCCCGGCUAACUCCGUGCCAGCAGCCGCGGUAAUACGGAGGGGUUAGCGUUGUUCGGGAAUUACUGGGGCGUAAAGCGCGCGUAGGCGGACUGGAAAGUUGGGGGUGAAAUCCCGGGGCUCAACCCCCGGAACUGCCUCCAAAACUCCCAGUCUUGAGUUCGAGAGAGGUGAGUGGAAUUCCGAGUGUAGAGGUGAAAUUCGUAGAUAUUCGGAGGAACACCAGUGGCGAAGGCGGCUCACUGGCUCGAUACUGACGCUGAGGUGCGAAAGUGUGGGGAGCAAACAGGAUUAGAUACCCUGGUAGGAAAGCG